CCUACGGGAGGCAGCAGUAGGGAAUUUUGCUCAAUGGUGGAAACACUGACGCAGCAACGCCGCGUGAUCGAGGAAGCUCUUCGGGGUGGAAAGAUCCGUCAGUGGGGACGAAACCUGUGGGUACCCACAGAGGAAGCACCGGCUAACUCCGUACCAGCAGCCGCGGUAAUACGGGGGGUGCAAGCGUUGUCCGGAAUCAUUGGGCGUAAAGGGUUCGUAGGUGGCACGUUAAGUCUGGUGUUAAAGGCGGAAGCCCAACUCCCGUAGGGCAGUGGAAACUGGCGAGCUUGAAUGCGGGAGAGGUAAAGGGAAUUCGUGGUGUAGCGGUGAAAUGCGUAGAUAUCAGGAGGAACAUCGGUGGCGUAGGCGCUUUACUGGGUCGUCAUUGACACUGAGGAACGAAAGCCGGGGUAGCAAAUGGGAUUAGAUACCCUGGUAGUC
rnacentral:rRNA from 1 species